rnacentral:rRNA from 1 species
GAUCAUGGCUCAGGAUGAACGCUAGCUACAGGCUUAACACAUGCAAGUCGAGGGGCAGCAUAAUCGAAGCUUGCUUUGAUUGAUGGCGACCGGCGCACGGGUGAGUAACGCGUAUCCAACCUUCCCCUUAGUAGGGCAUAGCCCGGCGAAAGUCGGAUUAAUACCCUAUGUUAUCCGUCGAGGACAUCUGAAGUGGAUUAAAGAUUUAUCGCUAAGGGAUGGGGAUGCGUCUAAUUAGGUUGUUGGCGGGGUAACGGCCCACCAAGCCUACGAUCAGUAGGGGUUCUGAGAGGAAGGUCCCCCACAUUGGUACUGAGACACGGACCAAACUCCUACGGGAGGCAGCAGUGAGGAAUAUUGGUCAAUGGGCGAGAGCCUGAACCAGCCAAGUAGCGUGCAGGAUGACGGCCCUAUGGGUUGUAAACUGCUUUUGCAUGGGAAUAAAGUCGGGGACGUGUCCCCGUUUGUAUGUACCAUGAGAAUAAGGACCGGCUAAUUCCGUGCCAGCCGCAGC